UUCAAUUGAACCCAAGGUAUCCAAUUAUCAUAACCAUGGAGUCUCAAAGACACAAAAGUAAACAAAAACACAUACAUUUGUUUGAACUGGCCCAAUUUGAAGUAAAAGUGGAUCAAUUUUUGUAGGAUUCAUAAGUUUUUGACAGCAAAAGCGAUCAAUCAAGUGUUGUCAACUUCAAUCCAAUUGGCAUAGACAAUUACAAACGAGUGCUACUACUACGAAUUGAUAACUCAUCUCAGAGCAAAAUUCCUCACGCAAGGUCGAGAACGGUAGAGGGCUCCGUACACCCCUAUUGGAGGCAUGAGUGUCUCUCUACAAGCUGGCUCAGCUGCCUGCGGUUGUUCAUUACAAUUGAAGUCGAUUCGAUCAUCGUGCCCGUGCUUUUGAAUGAUUACGAUGCAGCUAGUGGGGGUUUGGUUUGAAAUUGCGGUAAGAAGAAGACGAUCAUCGUUUUCGCGAUAGGAUUUUGGUUGCCUGAUAUGGCUAAUAAUGUCAAUGGAGGUUCUUCUAACGCUCUCGCAAAUGAUCUUACAGAUAAAAGAUCUUGAAGACACAGGGAAGAUGAACUCCAGUCCUUGAGAUUGUUUUCCAUGGACUUGGUUCCUAUUGGAUUCUUUUCAUGGUUCAUUUUGUUGUUAAUGGUUCUCUUAAUCUGCCUUUUUGUCCCCAACAGGUAUGUUACUCCUCCUUUCUGUUUAUGAUUCAUAUGUUUUUCCAUCAUUUUAUCAAACUGCUUCUUUAGUAAUCCUUUAGUGAGUAUAAACUGAUUCGUGAUUAUGUUUAUCUUUAUAACUUAUUAAUUAAAGUUAUAAAUCCCAAGUGUAUGUAAUUUAAACUUCUUAAUGAGUCUUUUACUCAUGUUUUGAUGCCUGUUUUUGCCAUAAGGAGUUUGAAAUUAUAAAUUUAGAAAUUCUUAUACUCUUUGUUUUUGUUUUUAUGUUAAUUUCAUGUUUUUACAUUGAUAUUCCCUUUUCUAUAACAGUUUUGGUGAUAAGUGCUAAUAAUUUGGCUUAAACAACCUUUUUGUGGCUUUUUCUUUUUUCCAUUUUUCUCCAUUAACUCGUGUAUGAGUAAAGUGGCUAAAAAUGUGUAAAGAUGUUUGUCUAGAUAAAGUUCUGUAUAUAUAAAGCCUGUUUCUUUUUAAAAACUUUGAACAAGACAAAAUGACCCUUUUACCCUUUCAUCUUGAAAAAACAAAUUCCACAACAUUUGAUAGGAAAAAAGAAGGACAAACAGGUAAAGAGUUGGUAUCUUACUUACUACAUGUUUAUACUGUUACAUGAGAGACCCUUAACUUUGGAAUUAAUGACAUUUUCUACCCAACUAAGUCUUUUUUUUUUUAUUUAAAUAUAUUCGUAAGUAUUCCACAUCAUUGUUGAGGGUCUCUCUUGUUGUAGCCUUUUCAUUUUCAUUGUCUGUUAUAGUAUUUGUCUUGAUGUUGUUAAUGUUUCAGUUAUUUUGGUGUAUAUAUAACAUCUGAUUAGCUUUUCAACUGAUAUAACAGUACUUUCAAGUAAUAAUUCAUCAACUUAUUUAAAUUUUA